rnacentral:rRNA from 1 species
UAAUACGGAGGGUGCAAGCGUUAAUCGGAAUUACUGGGCGUAAAGCGCACGCAGGCGGUUUGUUAAGUCAGAUGUGAAAUCCCCGGGCUCAACCUGGGAACUGCAUUUGAAACUGGCAAGCUAGAGUCUCGUAGAGGGGGGUAGAAUUCCAGGUGUAGCGGUGAAAUGCGUAGAGAUCUGGAGGAAUACCGGUGGCGAAGGCGGCCCCCUGGACGAAGACUGACGCUCAGGUGCGAAAGCGUGGGGAGCAAACAGGAUUAGAUACCCUGGUAGUCCACGCUGUAAACGAUGUCGAUUUGGAGGUUGUGCCCUUGAGGCGUGGCUUCCGGAGCUAACGCGUUAAAUCGACCGCCUGGGGAGUACGGCCGACAAGGUUA